rnacentral:rRNA from 1 species
GGAAGGGGUGUAUUUAUUAGAUAAAAAACCAAUGCCCUUCGGGGCUCCUUGGUGAAUCAUAAUAACUUAACGAAUCGCAUGGCCUUGCGCCGGCGAUGGUUCAUUCAAAUUUCUGCCCUAUCAACUUUCGAUGGUAGGAUAGUGGCCUACCAUGGUGGCAACAGGUAACGGGGAAUUAGGGUUCGAUUCCGGAGAGGGAGCCUGAGAAACGGCUACCACAUCCAAGGAAGGCAGCAGGCGCGCAAAUUACCCAAUCCCGACACGGGGAGGUAGUGACAAUAAAUACUGAUACGGGGCUCUUUUGGGUCUCGUAAUUGGAAUGAGUACAAUCUAAAUCCCUUAACGAGGAACAAUUGGAGGGCAAGUCUGGUGCCAGCAGCCGCGGUAAUUCCAGCUCCAAUAGCGUAUAUUAAAGUUGUUGCAGUUAAAAAGCCCGUAGUUGAACCUUGGGUCUGGCUGGCCGGUCCGCCUCACCGCGAGUACUGGUCCGGCUGGACCUUUCCUUCUGGGGAAUCUCAUGGCCUUCACUGGCUGUGGGGGGAACCAGGACUUUUAC